rnacentral:rRNA from 1 species
CCUACGUGCGGCAGCAGUGAGGAAUCUUGGUCAAUGGGCUUACGCCUGAACCAGCCAAGUCGCGUGAGGGAAGACUGCCCUAUGGGUUGUAAACCUCUUUUGUCAGGGAGCACUUGGCGCUACGGGUAGCGUUAUCGAGAGUACCUGAAGAACAAGCAUCGGCUAACUCCUUGCCAGCAGCCGCGGUCAUACGGAGGAGGCGAGCGUUAUCCGGAUUUAUUGGGUUUAAAGGGUGAGUAGAUGGGUUGUUAAGUCAGUUGUGAAAGUUUGCGGCUCAACCGUAAAAUUGCAAUUGAUACUGGCAGUCUUGAGUACAGUUGAGGUAGGCGGAAGUCGUGGUGGAGCGGUGAAAUGCUUAGCUAUCACGAAGAACCCCGAUUGCGAAGGCAGCUUACUAAACUGUGACUGACAUUGAUGCUCGAAAGUGUGGGUAUCAAACAGGAUUAGAGACCCCUGUAGUC